rnacentral:lncRNA from 10 species
UCAGGGGUAGGAGCGGGAGCCGAGAGGAGGCGGAGGAGAUGGCGUCCCAGCCGCCACCUCCCCCCAAACCCUGGGAGACCCGCCGAAUUCCGGGAGCCGGACCGGGACCAGGACCGGGCCCCACUUUCCAGUGAGUGUGGGAUUCUUCAGGCUCGUAGACUUUGGUCUGUAGCAGUUGAGAGCGGCAUUUGUCCAGCCACGGCAUCGACAGGGAGCAAAGUCUCUCCUUAAAGGUGUUAACCUCUCGAGAAGUUGCUGAAAGCCGGAAAGGUUUUACGCAACAGGAACUCAAGCCCCGUACACUUUGCAUUCUUUUCCAGCAUAACUCAGCCAGUGUUUCGGAUCGAGAUUGGAGAAGCAACUUUAAAGCAGGAGUUCUAGAUCUGAGGCCUAUGGAUGGACUUUGUGUGCAAAAUAGUGUAUUUUUCUGAGGCCUGUAUUUUUUUUUUGUUUGGUUUUUAAUCAGUAUCAGUUGGUUUCUAGGACUUUAAAAAGGCUAAAACAUGCAGAGUUGGGAGUGUUUCGUGGCCUCGUGUGGCUUUUGUUUGGUAGUGCUGGACAUCUUAAUUCAGAUAGGUGUGAUUCAAAUGUCAAAUCACCUACUAUUGUAGGUUUUCCUAAGCGUAAAAACCCCAACAUAUUGGAAUGUAUUUCUGCUGUAUUCUGAAAUCUUUUAUUUAAACACUAAAAUGCUUUAACACAGUAACGACUUAGUUUAAUAAGGAUAUAUACAUAACAAGUAAUAAGUUUGAUUAGGCUGGUAAGCCACGGUGACAUUAUCUGCUACCUUUUUUUUGAGUGGGUUCUUUUUUCCCCAUUUAGGCUGCUUGUCGAAUGAGAGAGGUUUUAUUUUUUGCAUCUGUUAAAGUUCUUUUUAUGUAAAAUUAACCAUUUUCCCACUUUAUCGUGAAAUAUUUUAAACACAGAGACCAGUAGAGAGUAAGAUAAUACCUAUAUAUUCACUACUCAACUUUAAACAGUGUUAACAUUUGCCAGACUUAUGUCGAAUUUUUCAAAAUAAAAGACGGCUAAACUCUCCCAUUCUUCUUUAUAGUGGUGACUAUUGUCCUUAUUUGGUGUUUCGCAUACCCAG